AACGUAGGUUCCGAGCGUUAUCCGGAUUUACUGGGCGUAAAGCGCGUUCAGGCGGUUUGGCAAGUCGGGCAUGAAAUCUCUCGGCUCAACCGGGAGAGGUUGUCCGAUACUGCUGGACUUGAGGGCAGUAGAGGGUGGUGGAAUUCCGGGUGUAGUGGGGAAAUGCGUAGAUAUCCGGAGGAACACCAGUGGCGAAAGCGGCCACCUGGACUGCACCUGACGCUGACACGCGAAAGCUAGGGGAGCGAACGGG
rnacentral:rRNA from 1 species